CGCACUCAAGUGAGGAAUGGGGAAGGAGGGUGGAGGAAGGAGCUUGUAAAUGAGCAGCUGGUUUGCAGCAAAACCGCACCUCACUCUGCACCUUUGGAUCCCUCUCAGCCUGAGGUUAGCACAGCCAAUGUCCUCACCAGCGUCUGCCAAAGCCCAUGGAGAAGGCCAGCAGGAGCAUAUCACUGUGACUUACAACCCUUCUCUAGUCUGCUACAAUGGAAUCUUAAACAAGAAAAUUUUAUAUUUUGACUUGCAUCAUUGAGAAAAACACUGCCAACCUGAUCGUGGUUCCUUUGAAGUGAACUUGCUUCUGACAGAGCAUGGAAGGAAGCAAUGAAAAAAGCCUCACUCCUGGUUGCACACCUGGGAUUCUGUACCUGACGGACACCAUCCAUCCUUUUAGAUGAUGCAUUGAGUCCUAACUAUUCCCUUCCCAAGAAAGUUCAAGCCAGGAGAUCAAUCUGCUUGGGAUGGAAAGAAUCACUGCAGCAGGUGCGAGAGAGGACUCAUGGAGCUUGCAGAUGAGCUAGCCCAGGUAGGACAUCUGAUGUUGGGACCCUCUUCAGAAGUGAAGCAUAUAUAAUCCCACAUGAAAUCUCUCAAGCCAUUCCAGAAGAAUGUUUUCUCAGAUAAAGGUUAUUUACCUAUUUAUAAUAAUUUAUAAUUUACAAAGCAUAUUCAUAUAUAUGAUCCCAUCUAACUCAUAAAAUUAUAUGAAAUGUAUACUAUCUCCAUUUUACAGAUGGGGAAAUUGAGCCUCAGAGUGAUAAAGUAACUUCCCCAAAGUCAUGUAGCUAGUAAAUGAAAGUGAUGAGACUCACACUAGGUUCUUCUAAGUUUUUAGAGUACUUCGUCCACGGCGCCAAGGUGUCUAGGGCAGAGACACCACAACCUCCUAAGGUAGGUUAUGCCAUUAAUGUUCCACUUGGGUGGGAAUACACACACACCCACACACACACUAUAAUUCACACUUCCUUAUAGUUAUAUUCCUCAUUCUUUGAACUUAAUCCAUGGUAAAGAAUUAUUUAUUAUGGUGGGGUAGAAGGAGACCCUUUGAGAUUUGAAGACACUGAUUAACCAUGUUAGUGUUUUUCCUCAGGCAAAAUAUUCAUGGGCUCUUUUACCAUAACUUGCUGUCCUUAUUUCCUCAUUAAAUUUCAAGUUUCCACAAAAUAAGAAAAGAAACAACUAAAGAAGAAAUUGUUGGAAGGCAUGGAGCAAAGUGUAAGAACAACUAAGUAAACAUGUACAUUUUGCAUUUUUAAAAAAUUCAGUGGCCAUAAUACCACUGGCCAACAGGCUGAUCAAAUAAUCCCUGAAACAAAGAGUUAUAUGUUACGGAGGGGAUUGAAUCAGAAUACAGAAAAGAGAGACUUGAGAGGUUAAGACAAAACAUCCUGGGAAAUACACCUAUUAAAAUAUGGUAACUAGCUGUUCUCCAUUUCUUUCAAGACAGAAUGGGAAAUGGAGGUAAACACAGCAAGAGUAUUAGUCGGUUAGACAACAGGAAUAUUUUGCUGAUUUUUGUUGUUGUUGUUUUGUUUUUGUUUUUGUUUUUGAGACAGUGUCUUGCUGCGACACCCA
rnacentral:lncRNA from 1 species